AGAACGAACGCUGGCGGCAUGCCUAAUACAUGCAAGUCGAGCGAAGGCUUCGGCCUUAGUGGCGCACGGGUGCGUAACGCGUGGGAAUCUGCCCCUUGGUUCGGAAUAACAGUUGGAAACGACUGCUAAUACCGGAUGAUGACGAAAGUCCAAAGAUUUAUCGCCAAGGGAUGAGCCCGCGUAGGAUUAGCUAGUUGGUGAGGUAAAGGCUCACCAAGGCGACGAUCCUUAGCUGGUCUGAGAGGAUGAUCAGCCACACUGGGACUGAGACACGGCCCAGACUCCUACGGGAGCAGCAGUAGGGAAUAUUGGACAAUGGG
rnacentral:rRNA from 1 species